GGCGAGCAGGUGCGGGCAAUGAUCGAUUGAAUAGCAUGCAUUUAGUUUUACUUGCGUUUAAGAGCAGUUGGAGGCCACGGAAGGAGAGUUGUAUGGCCUUAAAGCGAUGGAGUAGAUCACGUGUCAAAACAAACCAGCAAUAUGGUAGCAAUAUAUAGGAACACGUUUUCAUGUUAAUAUGACGUGUAGAACAAGACUAACUGACUCAAAAUAACGCGAAAGCACAUACUAAUGUUCAGUGUUUCUAUAGGUACCUCAGCUAACUGGGGGGGGCAGGGUUCCCACUGGUCCUUAAAAUCCUUGAAAGUUUGUGAAUUUGAGAAAAAAAAUCAAGGCCUUGAACGUUUUUGAAAAUAGACAUAAAUAGACAUUGGUCAUUGAAAGUGCUUGAAUUUAUAUAUUUUGUGCAAGAAUAUAAAUUUAAGUUCUUUAGAUUUCUAUGUAUUUACUUAAAGUCAGUAAUGGGCUAAAUUCCGUUGUCUGCACGUGUCUCCCGCCGUCUGUGUGUCCUUGUUUCACGCGCCACCUACCUCGAGAAAGUGCGACGGUUACGUGCGUGCAUGAGUGAUUGAAGUCAAAUGAUGCAGGUUAAACAGCUGCAAGCAAACGACAAAUCUAACGUAAAGCGGACCUUCAGCUAUGCCUGGAAAAUGUAAAUUCCAGGACUCGUGGCUCACCAAAGACAUUUACAAAGACUGGCUUGUUAAAGAUCCGCAAGGCAUCUAUAUGGCCCGAUGCAGAGCCUGCAACAAAUCAAUAAAAGUUCACGCCAUGGGCGAAGCAGCUGUGAAGAGCCAUGCUGCUUGAGCAUCACACAGGACGGCACUCCGCAAGUUAUAAGCAGCUCCUCAAGACAGUCCGUCAACUCGUCAUAAGAGGACACAUUGCGGGCUGAGACAUUGUGGUGUCUGAAUAUGAUGGAGUCUCACUACUCUUUCCACUGUAGUGAACCCACGUGUAAAUUCCUGCCAAUGGAACUGUUGGGCCCCAAGUAUGAUGACAAUGUGCCAGAAGAUAACAGAUGUCAUCCAAGCAUGCUCUCCCAAUAUUUAAAGCGUCUCAAGGUUAAAAUGGAUUUGCUUGUUGAUCUAACAAACACUACCCACUUCUACAGUAUGACCGCAUAGAGAUCGAGAACGAGGGUGUUAAAUAUGUGAAGCUUCAGUGCAAAGGCCAUGGAGAGUGUCCUUCAACAGAGACUACUGAGAUGUUCAUCAGACUGUGAGCACUUCAUGGAGAAGACUACCACUGAAUUGAUAGAUAUCACAAAGUGCUUGUACAGAAACUCAGCCUAAAACAGCAAGCGAUCCAGCUGUAGAAGCACAAUUGCAAGUGUCCACUGCACGCACGGCUUCAAUCGGACAGGCAUUCUGAUCUGUGCAUACCUGGUGGAGAAGAUGGAUUGGAGGAGUUGAUUAUUGACAAGGUGAACGGCCAGCCUGUCCCGCACUACCUGACCUAUGACAUCAUUCAAUUCAACGGUAGGCCAGUGUGAUUUCAGUAUUCGGCUAUUGUGAAAAGAGAAAGAGAUCUCCCCUAGGGUGGAGAAGAUGAAGACGGGACAGAUCGACAAGACCAAGGAGCCCUUUAGUGUCAGGAACAAGCCAUUCUUCGACAUCCACGCAGCACGAAAGCUCCUGGAAGGCAGCUUCAUGUCCCUGGUCAGCUAUGAAGUCAACGACCUUAUCUUCCAGCCUUGCGGGGCCUCGAAGGAGCUGAAGCAGUACGACAACAAGAUAAUCGAGUGGUCCUUUAACAACGACACCUGGGUGCUCAUGUGACAAGAGCUUCCCCAACUCCUACGACACAGCCAUGGCUCUGUGUAACAGCAUCCAGCAUCCUGUCACAAAAGAAAAGUUUCUGGACCGCUGUGCCCUGGGGGCCCACAGACAGAGCUGGAAACACCCCCAUGACCCAGACACAGAGCUCAUGCCCCGUACUGCUCCAAAGAGACCCAACCGGGCCGCACCACACAGCGGGGGUGGGCCGGGCCAGUGUAACAGUGUAUCUAUAUGGCUUGCAGAGCGAGGUCCUUCAUGGCUACAGCCCGCCCCCUUCCUCACCCCUCAGAGAGACAGACAUUUGAAAAGCCCCUCUUAUCUGUGACCAUUUGAUUAUCAGCCUCUUACAGGCCCUCUUAACUAAAAAUAUUGGAUUGAAUAACUUAUAGAUCCUGUUAGAUAUCCCCAUGUAGUGCCUUAGCUUUAAUUUUCAGUUUCUUAUUAAAGAUAAAAUACAUAAUGGUGAAUUUAGAUGUUCUUUAUUUUUUAUUUCCCUUUUUUUAACGGUCUCCCAACUAAUCUAUUGAUCAACAACAGAGGAAUUGGUGUUUUAACUACGGCAGCAACUGACUAUGUUUUUCCUAGCUGUUGAUUUGUAUUUGGGAUGGCGGUAAUCAGAUGGGAAACAACCACCUGACCCCUCCUUUCUAUCUUUUCUCUCCCAGCAGUGAAGUGAAGGAAUGCACUAGCGAAUAUUUCAAAGGUAUUGUUUAGUAGCAAGAGAGAGCAAUUCCUCUGAGAUAUUCUUCUGACACACAGUGAUACAUCGGGUUGACAACAUGAAUAACCAUGACAAGCUGUCUCCACAGUAUGGGUGUAACAAACACACUCUGCCUCCACAUGACGUCACAUGACCAUAUCGUCAGACCCCAGAAUAGACUCGGUAACCGCUUGGGAAAUGUUAUGAUGAAAACACGCCUCUCCUUUGUUUUUUCUUCUUUGUUUUUUUUCUUCAAUGUGUGUACAGAAUAAGAACAUUUCAACACUUGCUUUAUUUUAACAGAUACCCCAAUUAAGGACUGCCCUAGUUCAUAACAGACUGGUUUACUCCUGUAUUUGUUGUUUGAUUGGGUCCAUUUAAACAAUACAUCAUGUGGAGAUGUUGGUUAGAGCUUUUGAGUUUGCUAUUCACAAGAAGCAUUGCCUGAUAGAUCUCAGAAGACCUUAGAUGAAGAAUUGUUGACUUGCAUAAAGCUGGAAAGGGUAACAAAAUUAUCUCUAAAAGCCAGAAAGACAAAUGUACGCCUUCUGGAGUGGUCCAGUCAGAGUCCUGACCUGAACCUGAUUGAGAUGCUGUGGCAUGACCUCAAUAGAGCAGUUCACACCAGACAUCCCAAGAAUAUUGCUGAACUGAAACAGUUUUGUAAAGAGGAAUGGUCAAAAAAUCCUCCUGACCAUGGUGCACGGUCUGAUCCACAACUACAGAAAACGUUUGGUUGAGGUUAUUGCUGCCAAAGGAGGGUCAACCAGUUAUUAAAUCCAAGG